rnacentral:rRNA from 1 species
UACGGGGGGAGCAAGCGUUGUUCGGAUUUACUGGGCGUAAAGGGCGCGUAGGCGGUCAGCACAAGUCAGUUGUGAAAUCUCCGGGCUUAACUCGGAAAGGUCAACUGAUACUGUGCGACUAGAGUGCGGAAGGGGCAACUGGAAUUCUCGGUGUAGCGGUGAAAUGCGCAGAUAUCAGGAGGAACACCGAUGGCGAAGGCAGCUCGCUGGGACGGUACUGACGCUGAGGCGCGAAAGCGUGGGGAGCAAACAGG